UACGGGGGGGGUAAGCGUUGUUCGGAAUUACUGGGCGUAAAGGGCUCGUAGGCGGCCAACUAAGUCAUACGUGAAAUCCCUCAGCUUAACUGGGGAACUGCGUGUGAUACUGGAUGGCUUGGAUUUGGGAGAGGGAUGCGGAAUUCCAGGUGUAGCGGUGAAAUGCGUAGAUAUCAGAAGGAACAUCAGUGGCGAAAGCGGCUUCCUGGACCAGAACUGACGAUCAGGCACGAAAGCGUGGGGAGCAAACAGG
rnacentral:rRNA from 1 species